UGCACACAGAGAGAGAGAGAGAGAGAGAGAGAGAGAGAGAGAGAGAGAGAGAAAGAGCGAGCGAGCUGUAGCUAGUGCUACUAGUAUUACUAGUGCACAGUGCUCAUAGUCAUGUUUUUUAUUUUUUCUUCACUUUCAAGCCUGCCUUUUCCUGAACAGCGGGAAAGCAGUUCGAUGUGGGAUUAUGCAUGGGGUUUAGUGGAAAACGGGAACCAAAUUUGGUGCAAGACAUGGAGUGUGAAAUUUAGAGUGACCUGUUUAUAGAAUGCGUAACCGUUUUAUAAAAGUGCUAGCGAUAUCGCGUACUAUUUGAAUAAUUUCAUCAAAUUAGCAGGAACACAGGAGCGCAGUUUUACCUGCUUGAGUAAAGGGCCUGUGAGAAUUCACUAUGCGGAGUGAAAAACGUAGCUCUGAAAUAUUACGUUUUUGAAUGGGUCCACGCGACUCUGAUCUGAAGUUGCCUGGAUGGGAUGCACAGUGAGUUUCAUCUGUUGUGAAGACGACCACCUACAGUUUUCUCCUGACCAACAUGACAAAAAGAAAGAGAACAAGAAACUGUUGAAAAAGCCUGAGGAGUUUGAGGGGAUCCAUUCACACACCUUUCGGGUGAAGACAUUCAAGAAGAGCAAGCACUGUGGCGUGUGCAAACAGACCGUCAGCCAGGAGGGGCUAAUUUGCAAAGUGUGCCGGCUGACUUGCCACAAGACAUGUGAAGUGAAGGUAAGAGCAGCAUCUUUUCUCAGGGCUCUUAUGUUGCCGAAUGGGCAUGUCUAAGCAAUGGGAACGCAGUCUUUUUUAGGCAGCUACACUUUUUACAUGUAGGUUGUUAUGAACUGUCAUUACAUCUUAUGUCAUCACGUCACAUCUCAAGUGCACAAGAGUCAAGUACAGUGUAGCUCUACCAAGUCAUCCUCUGUUGACGCAACAGGAGGCUGCUGAGGGGAGGAGGGCUCAUAAUAAUGGCCGGAACGGAGAGCGAAUGGAAUGGCAUCAAAACACAUGGAAACCAUGGAAACCAUGUGUUUUACUGUUUGAUACCAUUGUACUGAUUUCUCUCCCUCCCAUUACCAUGAGCCCGUCCUGCCAAAUUACAGUGCCACCAACCUCCUGUGGUUAGCUCUUAGUGGUUUAGUUAGCUCAACUCUCUUUCCUUCAAAGCCAAGCAGAGCUUAUCAGAAGGUAAUGUUGUGUUAAUGAGGUGGACGGGACCUCGGCAGGAACAGUGUUCCUGCACUCCUAAUGUCGGAGGAAUCUGAAAACAAGUGCAGGCUGUCCCAGUAUGUGUUUGACUUGGCUGAGCCUUUGUAUGUUCGACAUCACCCCCUUCUAAAAAUAAACGUCAGUUCGCUACAUGGUCGACGGGCUUGGUGUGUUUGAAGGGGGGGCACUUAGAAGAAGAUGGGAAGUAGUGAUGGAAAGAGAGAGAGAGGUGGUGAAGGAGGGCUGGAGAUGAGAAAACCUAGAUUUUUUACAAUACGUUGCAGUGAGAGAUUUACUAGACUUUAGAUUUAUAGCACACACACACACACACACACACACACACACGUCACCGCCCUUCAUCUGGCAGCCAUUACUGAAAUGUUCCAGAGGUGCCAGCUCUACCCAG
ensembl:lncRNA